rnacentral:rRNA from 1 species
AGAAGCUUGCUUCUCUGAUGUUAGCGGCGGACGGGUGAGUAACACGUGGAUAACCUACCUAUAAGACUGGGAUAACUUCGGGAAACCGGAGCUAAUACCGGAUAAUAUUUUGAACCGCAUGGUUCAAAAGUGAAAGACGGUCUUGCUGUCACUUAUAGAUGGAUCCACGCUGCAUUAGCUAGUUGGUAAGGUAACGGCUUACCAAGGCAACGAUGCAUAGCCGACCUGAGAGGGUGAUCGGCCACACUGGAACUGAGACACGGUCCAGACUCCUACGGGAGGCAGCAGUAGGGAAUCUUCCGCAAUGGGCGAAAGCCUGACGGAGCAACGCCGCGUGAGUGAUGAAGGUCUUCGGAUCGUAAAACUCUGUUAUUAGGGAAGAACAUAUGUGUAAGUAACUGUGCACAUCUUGACGGUACCUAAUCAGAAAGCCACGGCUAACUACGUGCCAGCAGCCGCGGUAAUACGUAGGUGGCAAGCGUUAUCCGGAAUUAUUGGGCGUAAAGCGCGCGUAGGCGGUUUUUUAAGUCUGAUGUGAAAGCCCACGGCUCAACCGUGGAGGGUCAUUGGAAACUGGAAAACUUGAGUGCAGAAGAGGAAAGUGGAAUUCCAUGUGUAGCGGUGAAAUGCGCAGAGAUAUGGAGGAACACCAGUGGCGAAGGCGACUUUCUGGUCUGUAACUGACGCUGAUGUGCGAAAGCGUGGGGAUCAAAC